GCUGGUGUAAAUGUAAAGGGAUAUUUUGCAUGGUCUUUCUUGGACAAUUUUGAAUGGCAUGAGGGUUAUACCAUGAGAUUUGGAAUGAUAUUUGUGGAUUAUAAAAAUGAUUUAAAAAGAUAUCAAAAGCUUUCAGCAUCUUGGUUCAAGAAUUUUCUCACAACAGAUACCAAACUUUACAUAGAUUCAAAUGAUUUAAAAAGAUAUCAAAAGCUUUCAGCAUCUUGGUUCAAGAAUUUUCUCACAACAGAUACCAAACUUUACAUAGAUUCCAUUUAAUAGUGCUACAAAUUUCUUUAUAAACAUUAUAGAUUUAGUUCAUUGUUUGAAUAAUACAAGUAUACAUUUGUAAUUAUAUGUAAUACAUAUUAAUCAUUGAUUCUAUGUUAAUACUGUAAUUACAUUUUUUAUUUUCCAAACAAUAGAUGGAAAUAG
rnacentral:lncRNA from 1 species